rnacentral:rRNA from 1 species
CACGUAGGGCGCGAGCGUUGUCCGGAAUUAUUGGGCGUAAAGAGCUCGUAGGCGGCCUGUUGCGUCCGCUGUGAAAGCCCGGGGCUUAACCCCGGGUCGGCAGUGGAUACGGGCAGGCUAGAGGUAGGUAGGGGAGAAUGGAAUUCCCGGUGUAGCGGUGAAAUGCGCAGAUAUCGGGAGGAACACCGGUGGCGAAGGCGGUCUGCUGGGGUGAGGCUGAGCUGAUGCGCGACAGCGUGGGGAGCAAACAGG